UACGGGGGGAGCAAGCGUUGUUCGGAUUUACUGGGCGUAAAGGGCGCGUAGGCGGCGUGACAAGUCACUUGUGAAAUCUCCGGGCUUAACUCGGAACGGUCAAGUGAUACUGUCGUGCUAGAGUACAGAAGGGGCAACUGGAAUUCUCGGUGUAGCGGUGAAAUGCGUAGAUAUCGAGAGGAACACCUGUGGCGAAGGCGGGUUGCUGGGCUGAUACUGACGCUGAGGCGCGAAAGCCAGGGGAGCGAACGGG
rnacentral:rRNA from 1 species